rnacentral:rRNA from 1 species
UACGUAGGGCGCAAGCGUUGUCCGGAAUCACUGGGCGUAAAGGGUGCGUAGGCGGGUCUUUAAGUCAGGGGUGAAAUCCUGGAGCUCAACUCCAGAACUGCCUUUGAUACUGAGGAUCUUGAGUUCGGGAGAGGUGAGUGGAACUGCGAGUGUAGAGGUGAAAUUCGUAGAUAUUCGCAAGAACCCCAGUGGCGAAGGCGGCUCACUGGCCCGAUACUGACGCUGAGGCACGAAAGCGUGGGGAGCAAACAGG